rnacentral:rRNA from 1 species
AUUGAACGCUGGCGGCAUGCCUUACACAUGCAAGUCGAACGGCAGCACGGGAGCAAUCCUGGUGGCGAGUGGCGAACGGGUGAGUAAUAUAUCGGAACGUGCCCAGUCGUGGGGAUAACGUAGCGAAAGCUACGCUAAUACCGCAUACGAUCUACGGAUGAAAGCGGGGGAUCGCAAGACCUCGCGCGAUUGGAGCGGCCGAUAUCAGAUUAGGUAGUUGGUGAGGUAAAGGCUCACCAAGCCGACGAUCUGUAGCUGGUCUGAGAGGACGACCAGCCACACUGGAACUGAGACACGGUCCAGACUCCUACGGGAGGCAGCAGUGGGGAAUUUUGGACAAUGGGGGCAACCCUGAUCCAGCAAUGCCGCGUGAGUGAAGAAGGCC